rnacentral:rRNA from 1 species
UGCAGUCGACGCGUUGGCCCAAUUGAUUGAUGGUGCUUGCACCUGAUUGAUUUUGGUCGCCAACGAGUGGCGGACGGGUGAGUAACACGUAGGUAACCUGCCCAGAAGCGGGGGACAACAUUUGGAAACAGAUGCUAAUACCGCAUAACAACGUUGUUCGCAUGAACAACGCUUAAAAGAUGGCUUCUCGCUAUCACUUCUGGAUGGACCUGCGGUGCAUUAGCUUGUUGGUGGGGUAACGGCCUACCAAGGCGAUGAUGCAUAGCCGAGUUGAGAGACUGAUCGGCCACAAUGGGACUGAGACACGGCCCAUACUCCUACGGGAGGCAGCAGUAGGGAAUCUUCCACAAUGGGCGCAAGCCUGAUGGAGCAACACCGCGUGAGUGAAGAAGGGUUUCGGCUCGUAAAGCUCUGUUGUUAAAGAAGAACACGUAUGAGAGUAACUGUUCAUACGUUGACGGUAUUUAACCAGAAAGUCACGGCUAACUACGUGCCAGCAGCCGCGGUAAUACGUAGGUGGCAAGCGUUAUCCGGAUUUAUUGGGCGUAAAGAGAGUGCAGGCGGUUUUCUAAGUCUGAUGUGAAAGCCUUCGGCUUAACCGGAGAAGUGCAUCGGAAACUGGAUAACUUGAGUGCAGAAGAGGGUAGUGGAACUCCAUGUGUAGCGGUGGAAUGCGUAGAUAUAUGGAAGAACACCAGUGGCGAAGGCGGCUACCUGGUCUGCAACUGACGCUGAGACUCGAAAGCAUGGGUAGCGAACAG